CUUCUCCAUGCAUGUCUGUAGGGUAAAUCCAUGAAAGUCCCGAAACCCUCGUCCUAUGAAACAACUUCUAUUUCUGUCAAAGAUACUUAUCAUCUGAAUUUUGAAUUUAGCAUUUUAUAAUUGCCCAGGUCUAUGGUUUUUCAGAUUGUCCAUGUUACCCAGAUUUUAAAAAACAAUGAAUAAGUGAAAUGAACUUUUGCUUAUCUUUUGUGUUUUGUCAAUUUCUACAGGAUCAUAAGACAUUACUCUACCCCAAAGAACAGCUGUAGUCAGUUUUGGAAGACAGUGUCCUGGUGGGAGCUCAAGACAGAGCAUAUAUUCGCUUAGGAAAUGUCACUGUGACACUUCCAGUUGUGACUAUAAAGAAGCGUUAAGAGUCUACGUAGUCUACUAGACCAAGCUUUAUCCUGGUACCUAGAAAGGGACCAAACCGAAGCACCACGUCCAGCAGUGACUCAGAGCAGAUGAAAUAUAUCCACGUUCUUUCCUCUCUUCUACGCAUAGUGUCAGUCCUCGAGAUACCACAACAUUUACAAGCUCACGCUCUGUUAAGUGGACCAUGCUGCCACAUAGUGGAAGUCUGAUAAACUCGGUCUUCAUCCAUUGUAUUAAGCUGCACAAAUAUAAGGAUAAAAUAAUGGGGCAAAGCCUUGUGACACAAGACCAUUGGCUCUCAAUAGAGGAAAAACUUCCAGAUUUUGAUACAAUCCAUCCCAUUAUUUCUCCAAUCCAAAUGGCUUCUGUUCAUCCUUUCUAGAAAGCCAAAACUGUUGUCUGCCCAAGAGAACCAUGACUAAAUGUCAUUUAGCUUGAACCUGUGUGAAAAGCAGUGUUGGACAGUCAUCAUGAGUGCAAGGUUGUGAGCACUGAGCUCUGCCACCGCUCUUUAUGCACGUCAUGUAAAGCUUUGUUCUUUAUUUUCCCUAUCUUCCAAUGAUGCUGAUGCCUUUGCUUAUGAAAUGUACUGGUUUAUGCACUAUGUAAAACAAAAAAAGAGCAAGAACAAGAAAACAAUGUAUGAGUUUAGGAAUAAUCACUUUUUAGCAUUAGGAAAUAGCUCUCUGUAUCCUAGGCUGCAGUAGGAGUGACUCUUUUCAAUGGGUUUUUUUCUUCACUGACUUCACUGACCUAAAUUAGCUGUGGAUCAUGCACUUUAUAUGUUAUCUGAUGUUCCUAGGAUCAUGUUCUUAAUCAGUUAGCAGUCAUAAAAAUCGUGAAUGUCUGUAAAAUGUUGUAGAAAUGGUGAACUGUAGCAGAGUAUGGAAAUAAGUAUUGUAAGCACGGACAGCAUCUGAGGCAAGAACUUUUUGGCAACUGUAACUAGCUCCAGUAAAAUGGAUCCUGUUCAGAAUACAAUAACUCUCUAACAAUUCAUUGUUGAAUCCCUCAUUUCCUUCCUAAUUUUUGUUUAAAUUAAUUUUUAUGCUGAUGUGUAUAUGCUCUGAUUCUAUCACAUGAUCUUAUUAAAUCUACAAUGCUG
rnacentral:lncRNA from 1 species